rnacentral:rRNA from 1 species
GGCUUAACUGGGAGAGGUCGUUCAAAACUAUCAGACUUGAGAGUGGUAGAGGGAGGUGGAAUUCCGCAUGUAGUGGUGAAAUGCGUAGAUAUGCGGAGGAACACCAGUGGCGAAAGCGGCCUCCUGGCCCAUUUCUGACGCUCAGACUCGAAAGCUAAGGUAGCAAACGGGAUUAGAGACCCCGGUAGUCUUAGCUGUAAACGAUGUGAACUUAGUGUCGGUGGGGUUAAAUCCAUCGGUACUGAAGCUAACGCGAUAAGUUCACCGCCUGAGGACUACGGCCGCAAGGUUAAAACUCAAAGGAAUUGACGGGGCCCCGCACAAGCAGCGGAGCGUGUGGUUUAAUUCGAUGUUACACGAAGAACCUUACCAGGGUUUGACAUGCAAGUGGUAGGAAACCGAAAGGCGACCGACCCUUCGGGGAGCUUGCACAGGUGCUGCAUGGCUGUCGUCAGCUCGUGUCGUGAGAUGUUCGGUAAAGUCCGCUAACGAGCGCAACCCUCGCUGUGUGUUAUAUGUGUCACACGGGACUGCCGGUCUUAAGCCGGAGGAAGGUGAGGAUGAUGUCAAGUCAGCAUGGCCUUUAUAUCCUGGGCUACACACACGCUACAAUGGCCAACACAAUAGGUUGCUAAGCCGCGAGGUGGAGCCAAUCCAUAAAGUUGGUCUCAGUUCAGAUUGUAGGCUGCAACCCGCCUGCAUGAAGAUGGAGUUGCUAGUAACCGCAGGUCAGCUAUACUGCGGUGAAUACGUUCCCGGGGCUUGUACACACCGCCCGUAAGGGCGA